rnacentral:rRNA from 1 species
GACGAACGCUGGCGGCGUGCUUAACACAUGCAAGUCGAACGGAAAGACCCUGCUUUUGUGGGGUGCUCGAGUGGCGAACGGGUGAGUGACACGUGAGUAACCUGCCCUUGACUUUGGGAUAACUUCAGGAAACUGGGGCUAAUACCGGAUAGGAGCUCCUGCUGCAUGGUGGGGGUUGGAAAGUUUCGGCGGUUGGGGAUGGACUCGCGGCUUAUCAGCUUGUUGGUGGGGUAGUGGCUUACCAAGGCUUUGACGGGUAGCCGGCCUGAGAGGGAGACCGGCUACAUUGGGACUGGGAUGCGGCCCGGACUCCUACGGGAGGCAGCGGUGGGGAAUAUUGCACAAUAGGCGGAGGCCUGAUGCAGCAACGCCGCGUGCGGGAUGACGGCCUUCGGGUUGUAAACCGAUUUCGCCUGUGACGAAGCGUGAGUGACGGUAAUGGGUAAAGAAGCACCGGCUAACUACGU